rnacentral:rRNA from 1 species
UUAGAGUUUGAUCCUGGCUCAGAUUGAACGCUGGCGGCAGGCCUAACACAUGCAAGUCGAGCGGUAGAGAGGUGCUUGCACCUCUUGAGAGCGGCGGACGGGUGAGUAAUGCCUAGGAAUCUGCCUGGUAGUGGGGGAUAACGUUCGGAAACGGACGCUAAUACCGCAUACGUCCUACGGGAGAAAGCAGGGGACCUUCGGGCCUUGCGCUAUCAGAUGAGCCUAGGUCGGAUUAGCUAGUUGGUGAGGUAAUGGCUCACCAAGGCGACGAUCCGUAACUGGUCUGAGAGGAUGAUCAGUCACACUGGAACUGAGACACGGUCCAGACUCCUACGGGAGGCAGCAGUGGGGAAUAUUGGACAAUGGGCGAAAGCCUGAUCCAGCCAUGCCGCGUGUGUGAAGAAGGUCUUCGGAUUGUAAAGCACUUUAAGUUGGGAGGAAGGGCCAUUCCCUAAUACGUGAUGGUUUGACGUAC